GAUGAACGCUAGCGGCAGGCCUAACACAUGCAAGUCGAGGGGUAGCAGGAUUAAGCUUGCUUAAUUGCUGACGACCGGCGCACGGGUGCGUAACGCGUAUGCAACCUACCUUAUACUGGGGUAUAGCCCGGAGAAAUUCGGAUUAAUCCCCCAUAGUACUAAUGAAUCGCAUGGUUUAUUAGUUAAAGCAUUGCGGUAUAAGAUGGGCAUGCGUCCUAUUAGCUAGAUGGUGAGGUAACGGGUCACCAUGGCUACGAUAGGUAGGGGGCCUGAGAGGGUGGGCCACCACACUGGUACUGAGACACGGACCAGACUCCUACGGGAGGCAGCAGUGAGGAAUAUUGGUCAAUGGGCGCAAGCCUGAACCAGCCAUGCCGCGUGCAGGAAGAGUGCCCUAUGGGUUGUAAACUGCUUUUAUUUGGGAAUAAACCUCUUUACGUGUAGAGAGCUGAAGGUACCAAAUGAAUAAGCACCGGCUAACUCCGUGCCAGCCGCCGCCGUAA
rnacentral:rRNA from 1 species